UCCCUGGUGGCUCAGAUGGUAAAGCAUCUGUCUGCAAUGCUGGAGACCCGGGUUUGAUCCCUGGGUCGGGAA
rnacentral:tRNA from 1 species